UUAAGCGACUAAGCGUACACGGUGGAUGCCCUGGCAGUCAGAGGCGAUGAAGGACGUGCUAAUCUGCGAUAAGCGUCGGUAAGGUGAUAUGAACCGUUAUAACCGGCGAUUUCCGAAUGGGGAAACCCAGUGUGAUUCGUCACACUAUCAUUAACUGAAUCCAUAGGUUAAUGAGGCGAACCGGGGGAACUGAAACAUCUAAGUACCCCGAGGAAAAGAAAUCAACCGAGAUUCCCCCAGUAGCGGCGAGCGAACGGGGAGCAGCCCAGAGCCUGAAUCAGUGUGUGUGUUAGUGGAAGCGUCUGGAAAGGCGCGCGAUACAGGGUGACAGCCCCGUACACAAAAAUGCACAUGCUGUGAGCUCGAUGAGUAGGGCGGGACACGUGGUAUCCUGUCUGAAUAUGGGGGGACCAUCCUCCAAGGCUAAAUACUCCUGACUGACCGAUAGUGAACCAGUACCGUGAGGGAAAGGCGAAAAGAACCCCGGCGAGGGGAGUGAAAAAGAACCUGAAACCGUGUACGUACAAGCAGUGGGAGCACGCUUAGGCGUGUGACUGCGUACCUUUUGUAUAAUGGGUCAGCGACUUAUAUUCUGUAGCAAGGUUAACCGAAUAGGGGAGCCGAAGGGAAACCGAGUCUUAACUGGGCGUUAAGUUGCAGGGUAUAGACCCGAAACCCGGUGAUCUAGCCAUGGGCAGGUUGAAGGUUGGGUAACACUAACUGGAGGACCGAACCGACUAAUGUUGAAAAAUUAGCGGAUGACUUGUGGCUGGGGGUGAAAGGCCAAUCAAACCGGGAGAUAGCUGGUUCUCCCCGAAAGCUAUUUAGGUAGCGCCUCGUGAAUUCAUCUCCGGGGGUAGAGCACUGUUUCGGCAAGGGGGUCAUCCCGACUUACCAACCCGAUGCAAACUGCGAAUACCGGAGAAUGUUAUCACGGGAGACACACGGCGGGUGCUAACGUCCGUCGUGAAGAGGGAAACAACCCAGACCGCCAGCUAAGGUCCCAAAGUCAUGGUUAAGUGGGAAACGAUGUGGGAAGGCCCAGACAGCCAGGAUGUUGGCUUAGAAGCAGCCAUCAUUUAAAGAAAGCGUAAUAGCUCACUGGUCGAGUCGGCCUGCGCGGAAGAUGUAACGGGGCUAAACCAUGCACCGAAGCUGCGGCAGCGACGCUGAUGCGUUGUUGGGUAGGGGAGCGUUCUGUAAGCCUGUGAAGGUGUACUGUGAGGUAUGCUGGAGGUAUCAGAAGUGCGAAUGCUGACAUAAGUAACGAUAAAGCGGGUGAAAAGCCCGCUCGCCGGAAGACCAAGGGUUCCUGUCCAACGUUAAUCGGGGCAGGGUGAGUCGACCCCUAAGGCGAGGCCGAAAGGCGUAGUCGAUGGGAAACAGGUUAAUAUUCCUGUACUUGGUGUUACUGCGAAGGGGGGACGGAGAAGGCUAUGUUGGCCGGGCGACGGUUGUCCCGGUUUAAGCGUGUAGGCUGGUUUUCCAGGCAAAUCCGGAAAAUCAAGGCUGAGGCGUGAUGACGAGGCACUACGGUGCUGAAGCAACAAAUGCCCUGCUUCCAGGAAAAGCCUCUAAGCAUCAGGUAACAUCAAAUCGUACCCCAAACCGACACAGGUGGUCAGGUAGAGAAUACCAAGGCGCUUGAGAGAACUCGGGUGAAGGAACUAGGCAAAAUGGUGCCGUAACUUCGGGAGAAGGCACGCUGAUAUGUAGGUGAAGUCCCUCGCGGAUGGAGCUGAAAUCAGUCGAAGAUACCAGCUGGCUGCAACUGUUUAUUAAAAACACAGCACUGUGCAAACACGAAAGUGGACGUAUACGGUGUGACGCCUGCCCGGUGCCGGAAGGUUAAUUGAUGGGGUCAGCGCAAGCGAAGCUCUUGAUCGAAGCCCCGGUAAACGGCGGCCGUAACUAUAACGGUCCUAAGGUAGCGAAAUUCCUUGUCGGGUAAGUUCCGACCUGCACGAAUGGCGUAAUGAUGGCCAGGCUGUCUCCACCCGAGACUCAGUGAAAUUGAACUCGCUGUGAAGAUGCAGUGUACCCGCGGCAAGACGGAAAGACCCCGUGAACCUUUACUAUAGCUUGACACUGAACAUUGAGCCUUGAUGUGUAGGAUAGGUGGGAGGCUUUGAAGUGUGGACGCCAGUCUGCAUGGAGCCGACCUUGAAAUACCACCCUUUAAUGUUUGAUGUUCUAACGUUGACCCGUGAUCCGGGUUGCGGACAGUGUCUGGUGGGUAGUUUGACUGGGGCGGUCUCCUCCUAAAGAGUAACGGAGGAGCACGAAGGUUGGCUAAUCCUGGUCGGACAUCAGGAGGUUAGUGCAAUGGCAUAAGCCAGCUUGACUGCGAGCGUGACGGCGCGAGCAGGUGCGAAAGCAGGUCAUAGUGAUCCGGUGGUUCUGAAUGGAAGGGCCAUCGCUCAACGGAUAAAAGGUACUCCGGGGAUAACAGGCUGAUACCGCCCAAGAGUUCAUAUCGACGGCGGUGUUUGGCACCUCGAUGUCGGCUCAUCACAUCCUGGGGCUGAAGUAGGUCCCAAGGGUAUGGCUGUUCGCCAUUUAAAGUGGUACGCGAGCUGGGUUUAGAACGUCGUGAGACAGUUCGGUCCCUAUCUGCCGUGGGCGCUGGAGAACUGAGGGGGGCUGCUCCUAGUACGAGAGGACCGGAGUGGACGCAUCACUGGUGUUCGGGUUGUCAUGCCAAUGGCACUGCCCGGUAGCUAAAUGCGGAAGAGAUAAGUGCUGAAAGCAUCUAAGCACGAAACUUGCCCCGAGAUGAGUUCUCCCUGACUCCUUGAGAGUCCUGAAGGAACGUUGAAGACGACGACGUUGAUAGGCCGGGUGUGUAAGCGCAGCGAUGCGUUGAGCUAACCGGUACUAAUGAACCGUGAGGCUUAACCUU
rnacentral:rRNA from 1 species